rnacentral:misc_RNA from 1 species
UGUUUUGAUUUUCUGGUCUUUCAGUUGAAUUUGAAUAUAUAUCUCUUUGUUGGUUUGAUGCCCAUUUGAGGGAUUUGUUAUUAGAUUAAACCAGAAAGAUGGAUUCUUUGUUUUAGUGUGGGAGAUGGGGUUUUAGCAUUUGGAACUUAGCUUUUGGUUUUGAUGUGUUUCGGUAAUUACCAGUUAAUGGGAUGAAUUUUGUGUGAAAAUGGAGAAAUUUUGGGUGGUUUUCAGAGAGCUAUUUUUGGUUUAAAAGUUUGUUCUUUGUAUGGUUGCAAUGACAUCGUUUCAAUUUUGGUAAUCUUUCAUUUUGACAAGAAGUGUCUGGUUUAUAUUGAUAAUUGCAGUUUUAAUAAUUGAGAUGAUUAUAGUGUUUGAGUUGUAGAUUGUUGAUUUGAAAUUGAAAGCUUCUUGUUUUGGAUACUGUGUGAUCCUUUGAAUCCUAUAUGGUAUUUUUUUUCGUAAAUUCAAUGAUGUACUAAUGAGAGAAAAAGUCAGCUUUUUGGAAAGUAGUGGGAAGUUACAUUGAGUUUCUUAAUGCUUUCAAAUUCCCAUGUUGGGCAUUUUUUCUCACACCCCUCACGAUUCUUCCUCCUCCUUCUCCUCCACUUUUUGUUUUCCCUCUCCUUUUUCUCUUUUUAAUUAAGUAAUUGUAGCCAUCAAGGCAAAGGAAAUCAAGUACUCUUUAGAGCUGAACUUUGUUUACGGCCUUUGAGUAAACAGAUGAUUUCAAGAUAUCUUUGUUAACUACAGGAAAUUCCAAUAUAUCUUUCUUUAGCUGAAUUUCUGUUUACAUUUCUCACCAUCUAAUACCCAUUAUUGACUUGAAGUUGUGAACUGGUCUUCUGAUUUGUGUAAUUUGCAGCAAGAGAUGUAAACAAAAGUUAACUCCCUUAUAUCAUUUCCAUGGGCUAAAGUAGGGACAGGCAGUUGCUUGACUCUUAACUAUAAGUAUUGAAACAAUGCUAAGUUGAGAAGUGAUUGUCUUGAGGAAGUUAUUGAGUUUCAGAAAUUAACUGCAUUCUGUGUUUCAUGUUCAAGUCUAUUCUUGGUGAAUACCUUAACGCUGGAUUUAUUUGUUAUCUUACUGAGAUUGACAUAUGUUAUUUUACAUCAGACAGUAAUUGUAUGUGUUAAAGUCUUGCGGUUGAGGUCUAUAAUUCUUUAUCAGUUUGUCGAAUACUCACUUGAUCAGAAUUCAUCAAUCCUAUAAAAUCUUCCAUUUUGUUUCUUAUUACGUUGUAGUUAUAUUAAUUUUCAUUAACUAAAAAUUUUGACCACGCUGGUGUGCAGGCUACCAAGAACAGAAAGCCUUG